rnacentral:rRNA from 1 species
UACGUAGGGGGCGAGCGUUGUCCGGAGUUACUGGGCGUAAAGCGCUUGUAGGCGGUCCACCAAGUUUGGGGUGACAGUUGCCGACUUAAUCGGCAAAGUGCCUCAAAGACUGGCGGACUUGAGGGCCACAGAGGGACAUGGAACUCCAGGUGUAGUGGUGAAAUGCGUAGAUAUCUGGAAGAACACCAAAGGCGAAGGCAGUGUCCUGGGUGGUCGCUGACGCUGAGAGGCGAAAGCCAGGGGAGCGA